rnacentral:lncRNA from 1 species
CUGCAAAACAAUCAAACAAUCAAACACACUUUCUUCAUCAACAAACCCUGCAGGUCUCCAUAACUAGUCACAUAUUUCAUUCAUCAUGAACAUGAAGAAGAUUACUUGUGCUGUUCUCAUUGCAGCUAUCUCCAUGAGUGCUGCAUUUGCUACUGAUGUAGAGGUUCCUGCCCCAUCACCUGACCCAAGCAGUGGUGCCUCAAACACUGUUGUUGGGUCCUUGAUUGGUGCCUCAGUGUUGUCUUUCAUUGCCUUGUUCCACUAAGCUCAGAAAACAUGGGACAUGGCACUAGGGUGAAAAGAGAAAUGUAGUUUAUGGAAGAAGAAAUUAUAUAUAACUACAUUCAUAUGUAUUGAAACAACUAUUGAACGUAAUAUAUAUUGAUUUGUUGAUCUACCAUAUUCCUUAUCACAAAUAUUUUCCUCUCAUUUUAUGCCUAGUUCAAUAGGUAGAUCGAUUCUAGCUAGGUUUCACCUAAACCUGCAAGGAAACUUGUUACAUGCAUCAAAUUAUCAUAAAGUGUGAGAAAUAAUGACAAUUAAAAAAUUCUCCCAUAUUAAAGAGGUUUUAAAUAGUUGUUGGGGUCUUAUUUUCAAAAAUUCUCAAAACUUAUGUUUUAGAAAUUUCGAGCAAAUACAUCCAAUGUGUUCACAAUUAAAAUUGUGUUACAGUUUCCACGACUUUCAAAACCUUUAGAUAUGGGUGUUUGUAGUUGUUAUUGACCUACAAUUAAAACCUUGAAGAUCACUGUAAUAUAAGAAUAGCUACUAAAUAAGCAAAAAACAAAUACAAAAAAUGAGGACGUUCUUGAUGGAAAAUGAUUAUCCAUUUAUGGUUUCUUUUCCAUGAGAACUUUGGCAUCCCUAAACGACGUUAAUGUAAUUAGGUUUUUUACUUUAUGAAACAUUACUUUAUUUUGAAAGAAUGCUCUUUUAUUUCUUACUAGGAGAAAAAGC